rnacentral:rRNA from 1 species
UACGUAGGGGGCAAGCGUUGUCCGGAAUCAUUGGGCGUAAAGAGCGUGUAGGCGGCUCGGUAAGUCCGCUGUGAAAGUCCAGGGCUCAACCCUGGAAUGCCGGUGGAAACUGUCGAGCUAGAGUCCGGAAGAGGCGAGUGGAAUUCCUGGUGUAGCGGUGAAAUGCGCAGAUAUCAGGAAGAACACCUAUGGCGAAGGCAGCUCUCUGGGACGGUACUGACGCUGAGACGCGAAAGCGUGGGGAGCAAACAGG